GAAUGUAUUUGGGACAAACGGCACCCCAUACAAGCUUGCCCCUUGUGUGUCCGUGCUUGUUGCUUAUCUCUCCCUUGUGUGUCCUUGCUUGUUGCUUAUCCCUCCCUUGUGUGUCCGUGCUUGUUGCUUAACCCUCCCUUGUGCGUCCGUGCUUUUUGCUUAUGCCUCCCUUGUGUGUCCAUGCUUGUAUAUAUGCGGAGAACUUCCCAGGCAGUUGAACUGAAGAAGCUGCUUUUUUUUACCUGUUGUGAUUGAUGUUCUUGUUAUGGACAGGCUUUUUUCAGGCAGUUUGCACAAUUUCCACACGGGCAAAUAAUCACCUCCUGUGCUAUUAUCCUAAGACAUCAAAUUCUAGAUUACGUUUUAUAUGGUGCACACAAUGCAUUGUCAUGUUGCAAUAUAGUAAAAAUCCAUUUUUUAUUUUGCCCAGGAAUAUAUCAUCACAUGUAUCCAACUCUUCCAAUCUCCAAGGAGAUCUAAAUCUUAAAGAUAGCUGUGAAAAACAAGAAAAUAGAAGCAGAAAUAAGACAUCUGGGUCACUUUUAAAAGCAAUCACUAUAAAAAAUUCUCCAAAGUGUCAUCAUACCAAAGGAUCUUUGUACACAGAGUUGCAGCCUAUUUUGGAAUGGACCAUAAUAUUGGAAAGCAUGUAAUAAGUAACAGGACCAGAAACAGAUGUAUGUCACCAGAAAAAGUUUCUGUUGGAGGGGAAGUAUCAACUAUUAGUCUGGCUAAGAAAAGGACAAUUGAAUAUGGAAGAGGUCACAAACACACCUUUUUACAUUCUUCUCAAAAGCUUAUGUCAUCUUCACUAAGGAGCCUGACUACGAAGGACAAAUCCACUGUACCAAGGAACAAGAGAGAAUAUCAGAAGAGGAUAUGAAUGACACUGUUUUGUAAUACUUUUGCACUAUUUCUUAUUUAGAGAUGGUCCCUUUUGUUAUUAUAAAACCGUUGUCAGGACAAAAUGGUCUAACAGGGAAGAAUGUAGAGACCCAUAGUGCUUGAGUUUUCUAGAAAAUAAUGUAAACAUUAAAUAAACGCAAUAUUCUGGUUUUGCUGUCAAUAAGGAUUAAUUAUAUCCUAGUUAGGAUCAAGUACAAGGUA